AACGUAGGAGGCGAGCGUUAUCCGGAUUCACUGGGCGUAAAGCGCGUGUAGGUGGCUCGCUAAGUCGAAUUUGAAAGCUCCUGGCUUAACUGGGAGAGGCGAUUCGAUACUGGUGGGCUUGAGGGUAAGAGAGGAAGGUGGAAUUCCCGGUGUAGCGGUGGAAUGCGUAGAGAUCGGGAGGAACACCAGUGGCGAAAGCGGCCUUCUGGCUUACAUCUGACACUGAGACGCGAAAGCGUGGGUAGCAAACGGG
rnacentral:rRNA from 1 species